ACUGUUCCGACAAUUUACCACCAGGGGGAUUUCAAGAUAGCGACGCUCUCUUUCAGGCGCUGGUUUGUCACUAUCUUCUUGGCCAUCCCCUCAUACCUCCUCAAAUGCUGACCCCCACCCACUAAAUUUUUGUUACUCUCCCAUGUUGUGCAAUUUUUGCCAUCAUUGCUUAUCCUACACUCACUAAGAGGCUCUGUUAAAUAGAGAUGUAUGACCCCAGACCUACGAUCUUUAGAGCAGAAGCUUGGACAUGACUGGUUUCCCUUUAACCUGAACAAAGUCUUGAUAAGGUAAGUCUUUCUAGCCUGCAGGGUCAUUGCCCACCU
rnacentral:lncRNA from 1 species